GGGCCUGUAGCUCAGAGGGAGAGCGCCUGACUCGCAUUCAGGAGGCCAAGGGUUCGAAUCCCUUCAGGUCCACCA
rnacentral:tRNA from 1 species